UACAGAGGGGGCAAGCGUUGUUCGGAAUUACUGGGCGUAAAGGGCGCGUAGGCGGCCAACUAAGUCAGACGCGAAAUCCCUCGGCUCAACCGGGGAACUGCGUCUGAUACUGGAUGGCUUGAAUCCGGGAGAGGGAUGUGGAAUUCCAGGUGUAGCGGUGAAAUGCGUAGAUAUCUGGAGGAACACCCGUGGCGAAGGCGGCAUCCUGGACCGGUAGUGACGCUGAGGCGCGAAAGCCAGGGGAGCAAACGGG
rnacentral:rRNA from 1 species